GUCUCUGUAUGUAUGUGUCUGUGUGUGUGUCUCUGUAUGUAUGUGUCUGUAUAAAACAGACACAUACAUACAGAGACAUACACACAUACAGACACA